AAAGAUCAGUUUAAAAGUCCUUGGCCUCAAGGCAUAAAAAAGAACUCUAUGUGGACUCAACCCAUCCAUGACAAUCCUUGAUAAGCGAGAAGUCCGAAGUUACUUGGGGCGCAAGUAAUCAAUCUAUUUCUCCGUUUUGUUGCUAUUAUAUCUUGAUUCGUAGAAAAGGCUUAAGCAUGAAGUGAAUUCUGAUAGAAAGCCUCAAGGCCUACACCUAAGGCCCCACGAAGGCAUCUAUUUAGCUUCAUUUCAUGUUGCGGUCUAGUUGGUCCGAGUAUAAGGAUUAACUCUGAUGGGAAGCCUCAAGGCCUAUACCUAAGGCCCUACAAAGACACUCAUUUGGGUUCGUCCUACCUCUUGGAUUCAGAUAAUCAAAGGUAUAAUAGUGAUAAAACUCUGGCAACCAUAAAAGACCAAAUAUGAUACAUCCAAGCGCUGGUUUAGUUUGACAGGAAGCCUCAAGGCCUAUACCUAAGGCCCCACAAAGGCACCUGUUAUAUCUAACUUGGUUUCUCGGGCGUAUACAUAUUCAAUCAAAGCUUAACACCCAUUCAACAUCUACCAUACUGAAGAUGGUAGUGGCACGCCUGAGCACGACAAAGUUAAUCUUGAUUGUGAGCCUUAAGGCCUACACCUAAGGCCCCACAAAGGCACCCUUUCAAAUUAACUCUGUCCUUCUCUUUCAGAACUGCCCGACGAGCCUUGCCCGAAGUGUGUCUUGCCCGACCAAGAUCUGCCCGACAAAGGCUUGCCCGAGCGAGCCCGAGAAGAAAGCAGAAGUACGACAGAUACCCUCAACCGACGCCAUUCUCCCAGGGGAGCUGUGUGCUCGUCCGCCAGGAGAUUCCUGCGACGAACAUAGUUUUGGCACGCCCAGUGGGACAAGAAACAGCUACACUUCUAAGAUCUUACAUUUCCAAAAAGAGAAGCUAUAAACUUGCCAAAAAAGAAGCCAAGAAGGAUCUUUUCCAGAUGACAGAACAAUCAGAAAAUCCUUUAUCCCCAUCCGGACAGGUGGUCUCAGGUAGUUCGACUGCAUCUGAGAAAUCACAGGGGAAAUGGAUUAAUGAAGAACUGCAAGCUACAAUGAUCCAAGUGUUGAAAAGCAUGGAAAGAAUUUCCUUGAAGACUAAGGGAGAAGUAAGCAGACUCUGCAUGCUUACAGGAAAUCUACAAAGGAGGCUGGACUUGGAGUUCUCUACUCCAAAGGGUGCUCAAGGAAGUGGAAUGAGUCCAGUUGUUAUAAGAAGUGAGCCAAUCAUUCCUUUGUUUCCACUACUAGAAGAAGAAAAGGAUAAGGGAAAGAAGAAGGUGAUACCUGAAGGAAGUCAAGCAGUGAUGGAGUCAGCUUCAGAAAAGGAGUUUCCCAGCUUCCCAUUAUUAUCAUUUAAUAAUAGGAGGCAGAGCGAACAAGAAAGAAUGAAGUUUGGACUGCCAGCCACGGCUGGAGAAACUAGCUGGAAAGAAACAACCACUACUACGUCAGAUAAACCUCUACCUUAUAGGCCACCCCCGAUGGUCAACAAAGGUGGAGGAUCUAACUGGAGAAAUCUGAAACCAGGAGGGAAGCAAACGCGGGCAAUGACCGGAGUCCGAAGAUUGAGUCAGCUAUCCAUGGCCAGAAUGAUAAUUUAGCUACUCAGCAACUAAGAGAAGAAUUGGCUGAGUUAAGAAGAACGGUGAUUCAAAACGCCCAGCCUCGAGUUCGUCCAGUAUUCAGGGUUACCUACCAGAAGCCAUAUCCUGAAUAUAUCGAUGAGUUAAAUCCAUUCCCUCUUAAUUUCAAGAUGCCCGCAUUCCCGACUUUCACAGGGGAAGAUAGCAGUGUGUCCUCCAGAGAUCAUAUUUUCAAAUUUUCUAAUCACUGUGUGGCGUAUGAGGACAAUCCAAACUACAAAUUGAGGUUGUUUGGAAAUUCACUAGCAGGAUUGGCAUCUCAAUGGUAUUCUCUAUUACCCCCCAAUUUCAUUGCUAACUGGGGGCAAAUGGAGAUGGCUUUCCAUGAACAGUUCUACAGGAUAGAGCCAGAGCUCACCAUUAAUGAUCUGGUAGAAGUGAAACAAUAUGAUCAUGAGUCCACCGAAGAUUUUAUGAUAAGGUUCAGGAGGACAAGGAUGAGAUGUCAGUUCCCUGUCAACCAGGCACAGCUCAUAUCCAUUGCUCAAAGGGCUUUAAAAUUACCUUUGAGAAAAAGGUUCUAUGAUGCACAGUUUAAUGAGCUACAAGAGUUGGUGAUUGCUGCUACUAAGUAUGAGAGGCUGUUACAGGAGGAACAACAGGUAAAACAUACUUCCAAAACUCCUCCGUUCUACAAAAAUAAAGCUACUAUUCACCAUGUAGAGGUAGGGGAAGCCGGACCCGAAUGCAAAGAUGAUCAUGAGGAGAAGAGUAUAGAUGUGUGUGCUGCUGAGAUGACCACACCCUUCAAGCCAUUGACGAUCAAAGGGUUAGUCCAACCAGUCAAGGACCAGAAGAUCGUGAUGAAUGAUGGUGGGUUCGUACCCAUGAAACCCCCAAAGUAUCAAAGUUAUUCUUUCGAUCUAACCAAGGCGCCAGAAAUCUAUGAAGAACUUGUGCGGGCAAGAGUCAUUUUGCCCGACAGCACCAAAAAGAUGCCCAAGCCCGAGGAACUCAGGGGGAAGAAGUAUUGUAAGUUGCAUUAUACCUUCAACCACUCUAUAGUCAAUUGUGUCCAGUUUAGGGACUGGGUACAGGAUCUUAUAGUGAAGGGGAAGUUACUACUCGAUUCACCUCAGGCUAGUAUGAUGGUGGAUACUAACCAUUUCCCCGAAGCUCCUAUUAGCAUGAUCGACCUCGUUUUCAAGGAGUCGGGGUUAUCAACAGAGUAAAAUGCCAUUGAAAGGACCCGGGGGCAGGGGCUAAGAUUGCCAACAAUAAAGAUGGAGGAGAAAAGCAGGUAGGCAAGGGGGCAUAGAGUUGCCUGAGGCCUAUCCAAAUGGAGCAGAACAGGAGGAAUGUUACAUAUCCAUUCUAAAACAAAAAGAGAUUACAAAGUAAUUCUAUUCCAAAAACUUUACAUCUUCACAUAAGGUGAUUAUUCUAGAAUGGUAUGUUCGCAUGAUGGUAAAAAUCCUAUUUGGUUCAGCCAAGACAGUAUGGCUGUUUACAAGUUCAGACUUGGUUUGCUCUAACUCUGAAGUCGCUUUUUCCACCCCUUCGAUCUGUUGCUCAAGGUUAUCCAGAAGAGUUGUUUGCUCCGCUUUAAGGAUCAUCAGUUGUCUCUCCAACUUCUGAAUUUCAGAAGAAACAACUUCAAUCCGUUCUUUGGUCUGCAUACUUUCUUCCAUCAGCCGACUAACUUGGGUAGAGGAGCUCGAUUCUCUCUCUAUGAAGCAUUUUGCCCGGUUAGCCAGCCGGUCUGCUCUCUGAUGUUGCUCCCUGAGGGCCCUCAAGUUUUCAAAGAAAGAAAGGAAAGAAUCAUACUGAGGCUUGGAUAAGCGAUCGUUUUUAAAGAACUCAGUAAUGACUCUCUCGAGGUCACAGAGAGCCUUGAGGCUAAAUGAUGCAGUGAAUUCUUUCUUUGCCCAUGUUUGAAAGAUUUGUUGCUGCUCCGAAGACAUAGAUUUUGUUGAAGCCUGCUUUGAAAACUUCAACCGCGUCUCAAGUCGCCCGAGUGCUUCGAAGAAUUUGGGCAACUUGGCAGGAUCAGAGGAGGAAGGAGAAGGGUCCGGCAUAACAGUUUCUUCUGGUGAGAUAAUGCCUAUGGAAGGGGCAAUUUCUGUUUGUUCAAUCGGUUCAUUUCUAGACAGGGAGGUGUCAACAUCUCCAGAGGAAGAAGGAGGUUGAAAGCACCUUGGGUUACGGGCCAUUGGAGGAGGGGAAGUUUCUUUUGGGGAAGCUCGCUACAAAACUUCAGGAUCAGGACAAGAUGAACUAUACACAAGUCAAAACAAAAGAGGCUUUGGAGAGAAGGAAGUUACCUGACUUAACCCCGGGGUUUCACUAGAGAAUGCACUAACUCCUUGUCGAGGUGAAGAUUUUUCACCACCAGCGAAAGAUGGGAAAGUUGUGCCUGAACCUGUGCCUACAUCCUGGUUGUAUCCGAAGAAAGUAGUGAUGAUCAGCAAAAGGUCACCAGAGGAAGAAACAAGAAGAAAAUAUUCCAGCACCUGAGGUUGAUCUUGAGGAGAAGAAGGAGGUUCAUCGACCGUCUGGCGAGUAAGCGCUUGCGAAAUAGUUGUGUCUAAAGCUACAGGGAUCUCAGGAACUAUGGGUUCUUUAUCCAAGGCCACUGACGGGGAAAGGGGUUCAUAUCCCGAAGAUGGCUGCAAAGAACAUGGAUAGGAGUUACUUGGGUAGCAAUGUGCAAAGUUGAAAUGAAAAGAAAGAGUAACUCACCAAAGUAUCAUCCUCAUCCACAAAAUGCAACAUGAUUCCUGUGGAAGGAUCAAAUUGAGAAGAAGGGGUUGCAUCUAGGGCAGGUUGCGGAGAAAGACUUUCUUUCCUUGUAGCCUAAGCCAAAUUAUUCAAAAUUCAGAAAGGUUUGAAAAUAAGAAAGUAUAAAGAUAGAAGUCAUACCUCUUUAAGCGUAGCAGCCCUUCGUGAUUCCUUCUUAGAAGCAAGGGUUGACCUUUUAGAAGCUUGAGGUCCUGUUGAGUGAUAAAGGGAUAAUCAGAUAAGGGAGAAAGGUAGCCAUUUGAUCCAGAAGAGGAGAGACUCACUGGAAGAUUGUUCUGUCUCUUUACCCGCUUCAGAAACAGGAGCAGAUGGGGCUGCUGGUUUAGGAGGCACGGUGACUCUUGCCCGCUUACUCUUUCGGGUAAGAAUUGGUCGUGUGGUUGCUGAAGGAAGUGCCGGAUCAGAGAUUGUGGUUUUAGUUAUGGCCACCCUCUUUCGUUUAGAUGCUUUGGUCGUAUCUUUGGCUAUUUCUUUAAUUGUUUCUUCGGCUCCUGAAUCCCCAAGAGAUUCUGAGACGUCUGUCCCUUCCCCGGCUUCCCGCCUUUCAGCUUCUGCUGCAGCACCAUGAAGAACUGCGGCAUCAGCAGAAUCAUUCUCUGAUUCGAUGGCUUCGGAUUCAGUAUCAACUGAAGUUGCAGAAACAGGUAAGAGUGAGGAAAGUAAACAACAAGGAAAGAAAAAUCGGAUGGGAAGAAAGUCACCUAUUAGGAGUAAUCGGUUUUUCUCUUGGAUCAUAUCUUUCCAAUUUGCAAGCUCGCUCGAGCUAGGAUAUGAUUUAAGAGAAAGCUGGCUGAAAAUACGAUCGUGGUUCACUUUCAAAUCUCCUCCGUAUUUUCUAGUCCACAUUUCCUCCCACCAAGAGGAAAACAGCGAGGUACAUUCGAAAUUAAGAACAACGGAAUGUCGGGCUGCUUGGCUCAUCACGUCCAAACUACGGCGGGCAGCUCGAAAUAUUGCUUCAGAAGGAGUCUGUAACCGAAAUGAAGUGCCACAAUGGAUGGAGUCGAAGAAUGGGACAGGUAUGGAUUGCCUAAAUCCUAACUGCCUGCUGCAGAAGUUAGGAUGAUACACCUCCAAGCCUCGAUCAUACCGAUUUCCCCGGACCCCCCAGGCCAAGUCUCUUGGCUGAAUACAGCUGAUAAACUUUUCCCUGCAGAAGGGAGCAGCAUCCUCACCAGGGGCAUCUUGGAAGGCUUGGUCAGAAAACCAAGGAUAUCUCCUCAAGACCGAUGCACCCCAUUCCAAGUCUGACCGAGUCCUGCAGACUCGGAAAAAGUAGAAGCAUGCAAAGGUGGAAUGAUCUACAGGAGGAGCUUCAGCCAGGAUUCGGGCAGGAGCCACACCCUCUGGAAACUCUAGAUUGAUAGCCCGAAAUUCUGGAAAAUACCAUUGUAGCCAAAUCUGUAUCAUCCAGAUGGGGCCGUUCAAAUUGGUCUCAAAGGGCUCAUCCCGGGUCAUGUCAAAAAGAAGGUGAUAGAGAUGGGAGAGAAGGAAUGGACCUGUGGCAACGUCAUCAAAAUUGUGAAGAACCUCUACCAAGGGGAUCCAUUCUACCCGUACCCCCUUGGAUUUGUUGGGGAAGACGUGUUUGUUAAGCCAGUAAAGAAGAAAGUACAUAUGCUCUUGAUCUUUGUCGGCUUGAGGAGAGCCUGCCCCGAAGUUCUUCUUGACAAAAGGGAUGAAUCCUUUAAAGGAGGUCCCAUAACUUUUGAAAGUAACUGAGUUAUAGCUGAGAGGAAGGAAGUAGGUGGAAGAACUUGAGCCCCCGGUGGUAGAGGAUGGAAUCCAAUCUUGAGUAACAUCUAUCACCCUGCCCGAUGGCCUCAACCCGAAGACUUGGGCCAUAUCAAGAAUGGUGGGAGACAUGGGACCCAUACGGAAAUCGAAGGUGUUUGUGCCCGUAUUCCAAAAGAGGAGGGCAGAAGCAAGCAAUUCGGGCUUAGGGGUAAUUGAAAUCUUCGAAAGCAUAAUCAGUUCGUAGAUGCCGUUACUCAUCCAUUUCUGCUUGAAGGAAGGUUCCAAUUCGUCAAUCCACUGGGCCCAGGCAAGAUCAUUCACCAAGGGAAAGCCUCGACGAUGAAAAGACCACUUAGAAGAAGAAAUGCCCGAGUCGGCCAAAUAAGGAUUUGGGGUAAACCAGUUUCCCCUAGGCAUAUUACUUUCUUCUACUGAGGGAACCCGAGAAAUCCAGGCAGGACCCAAAGAUUGAACCCUAUGUAUCUCAAAGAAGAGUUCAGAAUGUAGACCUGCCCGCGGACGAUGCAGCCCGUUGAGCAGACGGCGUAGAGUGGCAAUUCCUUCACCAGACUCGUAGGAUGGUAAGGUUUGGCCGGAUCCUGAGGCCAUUUAAUGAAGGCCGUGGGGAAGAAAAACAAGAAGAACGGUAAAGAUGCAACCUCGUCGGACAACGAGAAAGAAAUGAUGAAAGAAUUGGGGAAGUUUUGUUGUAUCAGAGAAGGUUUUCUUUUUACGAAACACAGAGAACGGAGAAGUUCACUCACAAGGGUUCUAAGAGUUCUAAGGGUUUAAAACAGGGGUCUCUUUCAAUUAAUAUUGGCGCCUGGGAUCCCAACCUUAACAUCAAUUGAAGGGGGCACUGUUUGGGAUAAAAUCUGAACUUUGGGCCAGAGAGAAAGUCGGCCCAAACCCAAGGCCCAGAGGAAAACUUAGGAGGCAGGAAAGAGGCUUUCGGCUGGGCACAAGUUACAAAGGCCACCUGCUUACCUGCUCAAAGACCACAGGGGGUAGGCUAUUCAGUCACUACACAGCCCAAUAAAGUACUUUAUUGGUGGCAUUCAUGUAAAAAAGCUAGUGAGUCAUCACCAAACCGCAUUCGGGCACCGCUAUUGCUACAGGAACCCAAGCUGAAGUCGUCUAUAAAAGGAGGAAGAGAAGACAGAAUUAGAGACACUCAAACAAACAAACAAAAGCCAAAACUCUGCUCAAGCCAGAUUUGCCUUCAACGAAGCUGUAGUCAGCACAAGCCUUCAUCCCAUUCGGGAUAAACCUUCCCAAACCCCUGUAAUAGCUCUGCUACCUUGUUCAUGGUGGUAUCGAUUCAUUUUGUAUCCUCUUCUCCCCCGUCAACCCCUCUAAAAGCUUUCAGACCUCUGACAGAGCCACAAAGAUAGAUUUUGUAAGAAGUUCAGCCUUGGCCGAUAAGGUUCAAACUUACCCGACUAUCUUUGCUCUGUCUUUGUCUUUUCUUUCUUUUAAAAGCACAAUAACAUGUUAUAUAUUCCCAGUUAUAUACAAGUUAUUUCUAGCAAAGUCAUAAUGAAAAUGAGUCUUCAGCACUUGAAUCCGAUCUGAAUCGCGUCAGAGUUCAAAUCAGAUCUAAGUCUUAAGCCCGGCGGGCAUGUAAUUUAAAGAUCAGUUUAAAAGUCCUUGGCCUCAAGGCAUAAAAAAGAACUCUAUGUGGACUCAACCCAUCCAUGACAAUCCUUGAUAAGCGAGAAGUCCGAAGUUACUUGGGGCGCAAGUAAUCAAUCUAUUUCUCCGUUUUGUUGCUAUUAUAUCUUGAUUCGUAGAAAAGGCUUAAGUAUGAAGUGAAUUCUGAUAGAAAGCCUCAAGGCCUACACCUAAGGCCCCACGAAGGCAUCUAUUUAGCUUCAUUUCAUGUUGCGGUCUAGUUGGUCCGAGUAUAAGGAUUAACUCUGAUGGGAAGCCUCAAGGCCUAUACCUAAGGCCCUACAAAGGCACUCAUUUGGGUUCGUCCUACCUCUUAGAUUCAGAUAAUCAAAGGUAUAAUAGUGAUAAAACUCUGGCAACCAUAAAAGACCAAAUAUGAUACAUCCAAGCGCUGGUUUAGUUUGACAGGAAGCCUCAAGGCCUA
rnacentral:lncRNA from 1 species